UACGUAGGGGGCAAGCGUUGUCCGGAAUCAUUGGGCGUAAAGAGCUCGUAGGCGGCUCAGUAAGUCGGGUGUGAAACCCUCAGGCUCAACCUGGGGACGCCACCCGAUACUGCUGUGGCUAGAGUCCAGUAGGGGAGUGUGGAAUUCCCGGUGUAGCGGUGAAAUGCGCAGAUAUCGGGAGGAACACCAGCGGCGAAGGCGGCACUCUGGGCUGGUACUGACGCUGAGGAGCGAAAGCGUGGGUAGCAAACGAG
rnacentral:rRNA from 1 species